rnacentral:rRNA from 1 species
AUUGAACGCUGGCGGCAUGCUUUACACAUGCAAGUCGAACGGUAACAGGCCUUCGGGUGCUGACGAGUGGCGAACGGGUGAGUAAUGCAUCGGAACGUACCCAGAGGUGGGGGAUAACGCAGCGAAAGCUGUGCUAAUACCGCAUGUGAUCUGAGGAUGAAAGCGGGGGACCGAGCAGCAAUGUUUGGCCUCGCGCCUUUGGAGCGGCCGAUGCCGGAUUAGCUAGUUGGUGGGGUAAAGGCCUACCAAGGCGGCGAUCCGUAGCUGGUCUGAGAGGACGACCAGCCACACUGGGACUGAGACACGGCCCAGACUCCUACGGGAGGCAGCAGUGGGGAAUUUUGGACAAUGGGCGCAAGCCUGAUCCAGCAAUGCCGCGUGCGGGAAGAAGGCCUUCGGGUUGUAAACCGCUUUUGGCAGGAACGAAACGGUGUCCGCUAAUACCGGGCGCUAAUGACGGUACCUGCAGAAUAAGCACCGGCUAACUACGUG